AGCAGCCGCGGUAAUUCCAGCUCCAAUAGCGUAUAUUAAAGUUGCUGCAGUUAAAAAGCUCGUAGUUGAAUUUCGGGACCAAUAUGUUGGUCGUGCCUUGGUACGUACUAGCUCAUUGGUUUCUCCCUUCUGACGAACCAUGAUGUCAUUAAUUUGAUGUCAUGGGGAAUCAGGACUGUUACUUUGAAAAAAUUAGAGUGUUUAAAGCAGGCUCGCGCUUGAAUACAUUAGCAUGGAAUAAUGAAAUAGGACAUUUGAUUCUAUUUUGUUGGUUUCUAGGAUCGAUGUAAUGAUUAAUAGGGAUAGUUGGGGGCAUUAGUAUUCAAUUGUCAGAGGUGAAAUUCUUGGAUUUAUUGAAGACUAACUACUGCGAAAGCAUUUGCCAAGGAUGU
rnacentral:rRNA from 1 species